rnacentral:rRNA from 1 species
UACGUAGGGGGCAAGCGUUGUCCGGAAUCAUUGGGCGUAAAGCGCGUGUAGGCGGCCUUGUAAGUCCGUUCUGAAAGCCCGGGGCUCAACCCCGGGAGGCGGAUGGAUACUGCAAGGCUCGAGUCCGGAAGAGGCGAGUGGAAUUCCCGGUGUAGCGGUGAAAUGCGCAGAUAUCGGGAGGAACACCAGUAGCGAAGGCGGCUCGCUGGGCCAUUCCUGACGCUGAGACGCGAAAGCUAGGGGAGCGAACAGG